rnacentral:lncRNA from 1 species
CAGUUGUAAAGUUUUCUUUCAGGAAAUUUGUGAACAGAGGAAAAAAGAUGAGAGUGGGAAGAGAAGCAAGACCCUUUGGGGGCAUAGGGUUUUUUUUUAAGUUUUGGUAGCCCCAAGAGUGGUUACGUAGUAUCUACCUGGUAUGUGUCAUCAGGCACUCGGGAGGUGUUUGAGGUUUGCAGAUAGAAGGGAGGGAAUAACUGCUACCGCAACCAAGAGCGUGGGAGGGAAAGGGGUUAAGAGCGCACAGCUGGAGAACAGCCUGGGUUAAAACAUGGGGCAUUUUCUUCCUCAUUGUCUUCAAGCCUGUUACUGAAAUUUUUUUUUUCUUUUAUCUUUUUUUUUGAGACAGAGUCUUGCUUU